UUGUCAUCUGCUACGGGAUAUCUUGCGGCUGUGUCGCGGGAUGUUCCCCACGGUUAGCAUCGUACGUGAAGACACGUGACAGCAUGCACCCUUUACUUUUCGGGGAGGACGCGGAAAUUGAGGAGGCAACAACGGCAAUAUCCAAGGGCUACUACGUCACCGAAUGGACACAGAUUGGCAUGCAUCGGGGGCUGGAGGGAGAAAGAGUUCUGUUCCGAAGGGACUCUGCCUCAAAGUUUUGGUGCUGUGGAGACACUUCUACUGGUUCCUCACCGAUCCGUAGAAUCCGCUGCUGGGUGGCGAGACAUCCUGCAUCGGUGGCUGCAUAUUUCCAAAGUUUUUCAAUACCUUGGUCCAAGUUGAUUCUUGUACUUUAUUUCUAGACACGACCCCUGGAUUUUAGUGCACGACGAGGACGUCGAUGAACUUGUAGAUCUGUAUAUUCAAGAACAUCCGUGCCAAAAAUAAAACGAUGAACUUGGUUUCUUUC